rnacentral:rRNA from 1 species
GACGGAGGAUGCAAGUGUUAUCCGGAAUCAUUGGGUUUAAAGGGUCCGUAGGCGGUUAGAUAAGUCAGGUAUGAAAGACCGGAGCUCAACUCCGUGUUAGUGCUUGAAACUGUUUAACUAGAAUCUGGGAGAGGUUAGCGGAAUUCUGUGUGUAGGGGUGCAAUCCGUAGAUACACAGAGGAACACCAAAAGCGAAGGCAGCUAACUGGAACAGUAUUGACGCUCAUGAACGAAAGCGUGGGUAGCGAAAAGG